rnacentral:rRNA from 1 species
GGUCAAGCAACUAAGGGCGUACGGUGGAUGCCUUGGCACUGGCAGGCGAUGAAGGACGUGGCAAGCUGCGAUAAGCCUCGGGAAGGAGCAAGCAUCCUGUGAUCCGGGGAUCUCCGAAUGGGAAAACCCAUACCGAUAAUCUCGGUAUAUUUGUAACUGAAUACAUAGGUUGCAAAGGCUAUACCCGGGGAAUUGAAACAUCUUAGUACCCGGAGGAAAAGAAAGCAAGCGCGAUUCCCUGAGUAGUGGCGAGCGAAAGGGGAACAGCCUAAACCGGUCUAUACGUUACAGGCCAGAACCGCUGUAAGAUCGGUGUAAUAGGAGCUGAAUGGAGAGUAUUCUGGUACUCUCGGGAAGUUAUAAAAUCUCAUCUUAACCAAAUCCGCUGGAAAGAGAGCCAAAGAGGGUGAUAGCCCCGUAGGUGAAAAGAUAGAGAUCUUCCUGGUUCGGCAACCUGAGUACCGCGGGACACGUGAAAUCCUGUGGGAAUUUGCGAGGACCACCUCGUAAGGCUAAAUACUAACCAGUGACCGAUAGCGAACAAGUACCGUGAGGGAAAGGCGAAAAGAACCCCGGGAGGGGAGUGAAAUAGAACCUGAAACCGUAUGCUUACAAGGUGUGGGAGCUUCGACUUGUCGAAGUGACCGCGUGCCUUUUGUAGAAUGAGCCGGCGAGUUACUUAGUAUAGCGAGGUUAAGUGAUAGUAAUCAUGAAGCCGUAGCGAAAGCGAGUCCGAAUAGGGCGAUUAGUUAUACUGAGUAGACCCGAAACCGAGUGAUCUAUCCAUGGCCAGGCUGAAAGUUCGGUAAAACGAACUGGAGGGCCGAACCGAUGUAGGUUGAAAACUGCUCGGAUGAGCUGUGGAUAGGAGUGAAAGGCUAAACAAACUCGGCAAUAGCUGGUUCUCCUCGAAAUAGCUUUAGGGCUAGCCUGGUGCGUUCAGUUAUGGAGGUAGGGCUCUGAUCGGGGUAGGGGGUCUACAAACCUACCGAACCCUUUCAAACCACAAAUGCCAUAACUUUAGAGCACUGGAGUCAGACUGCGGGGGAUAAGCUUCGUGGUCAAAAGGGAAACAGCCCAGACCAACAGCUAAGGUCCCGAAAUGCAUGCUAAGUGAUAAAGGAUGUGAAAUCGCUAAGACACCCAGGAGGUUGGCUUAGAAGCAGCCACUCCUUUAAAGAGUGCGUAAUAGCUCACUGGUCGAGUGAUUUUGCGCCAAAAAUACUUGGGACUAAGCAUGCUACCGAAGCUUUGGAUCUUAACGUAAGUUGAGGUGGUAGAGGAGCGUUCUAUACGGGCUGAAGGUUAAUCGCGAGGUUAACUGGACUGUAUGGAAGUGAGAAUGCCGGCAUGAGUAACGAAAAUCCCGGUGAAAAACUGGGACGCCGUAAGCCUAAGGUUUUCUGGGCAAUGCUAAUCAACUCAGAGUUAGUCGGCCCCUAAGGCGAGGCCGAAAGGCGUAGUCGAUGGGAAGCAGGUUCAUAUUCCUGCACCACCUGGUGGAGGAUAUCGUGAUGGGGUGACGUAGAAGGAUAAGGGCGCAGGGUGUUGGUUAUCCCUGUUCUUAAGUGUAGGCUGAAGAUCCAGGAAAAUCCGGAGCUUCUUAAAGCUGAGACUGUAGGGGAGCAAACCGCAAGGUGAGUGAAGGUCCCGACUCCAUGCUACCAAGAAAAACCUCUAAACGCAAAAUCAGGUGACCGUACCGCAAACCGACACAGGUAGGCGGGGAGAGAAUCCUAAGGCGCUCGUGAUAACCCUCGUUAAGGAACUCGGCAAAUUAGUCCCGUAACUUCGGAAGAAGGGACGCCUCGUUAGUGUGAAACCCCCGCGGGUGGAGCAUGAAGAGGCCGCAGAGAAACGGGCCAAGCGACUGUUUACCAAAAACACAGGGCUCUGCAAAAUCGUAAGAUGAUGUAUAGGGCCUGACACCUGCCCGGUGCCGGAAGGUUAAAAGGAGGGGUUAGUCCCACNNNNNNNNNNNNNNNNNNNNNNNNNNNNNNNNNNNNNNNNNNNNNNNNNNNNNNNNNNNNNNNNNNNNNNNNNNNNNNNNNNNNNNNNNNNNNNNNNNNNGGUAGCUAUAUUCGGAAAGGAUAACCGCUGAAAGCAUCUAAGCGGGAAGCCAACCCUAAGAUUAGAUUUCCCCUGACCCUUGAGGUCACUGAAGACUCCUCGAAGAUUACGAGGUUGAUAGGCUGGAAGUGUAAGCGCAGUAAUGCGUUCAGCUGACCAGUACUAAUCAGUCGUGAGGCUUGACCAU